GUAGGGUGCGAGCGUUAAUCGGAAUUACUGGGCGUAAAGCGUGCGCAGGCGGUUGUGUAAGACAGGUGUGAAAUCCCCGGGCUUAACCUGGGAACUGCGCUUGUGACUGCACGGCUAGAGUGUGUCAGAGGGGGGUAGAAUUCCACGUGUAGCAGUGAAAUGCGUAGAGAUGUGGAGGAAUACCGAUGGCGAAGGCAGCCCCCUGGGAUAACACUGACGCUCAUGCACGAAAGCGUGGGGAGCAAACAGGAUUAGAUACCCUGGUAGUCCACGCCCUAAACGAUGUCAACUAGUUGUUGGGGAUUCAUUUCCUUAGUAACGUAGCUAACGCGUGAAGUUGACCGCCUGGGGAGUACGGUCGCAAGAUUAAAACUCAAA
rnacentral:rRNA from 1 species